rnacentral:lncRNA from 1 species
CGGCGGAAGCUGCGUCUGAGCCUGCACACAUGGCAACACAGAGCUGUGAAGACAGACGUGGUUAGCACAAACCACUCGGGCCAGUGAAACCAGGGCAAACUCAUGGAUCAUCUGCGUUCCCAUCUUCACCUUGGUGGCAGCCCUACCUCUGAGAUUUUAAGGUCUACGGAAAGUGCAGGCUUCCAGGAGUGCUGUGGAGCAGAGCAGAGAGGGUCCUCCACCUUGUUUCUUAUGGGUGAGGCUCACACAUCUGAGUUCCUGAGGCCGGGAGUCGCCCAGGAAGACUGUCCUCCCUGACCUCUUUAAGCAGGCAGCAGCGACUUACCGCAAUGGCCCUGAUGCAAUCAAGGUAGGAGGCUUUCUUCACACAAGCAACACUGGGACCAUCGGAUGGAAUGACGCUUUUCAUAUGGUCGCGGAAACUCUGGCACUUAGUGGCCUCAUGCUCCGACACUGCACACCAUCUCACAGUUUUAUCAGGGACAGCCAGACACAGCCCUGGGGGAGAGAGGCCAGAGGUGGAAGGGACCCACUCCCUAUGCUGAGGGAGAGACAGCAUCGCCCCUAGGAAGGCCUUGACAGCCACAUCCCCUCAGUCCUGUCCUCCUCUCACUCCUGUCCAUGAAUACUACAGGGCACAAGUUCUACUGCAUUCUGAGACUGGGCCAAUAGAAGGUUGCCCUAAUGGCCUCCCAGUUUCCUACUGACCACCCUCUGCUGGCCAGAGGGGUGCAGGCAUGGCCAUCACCUCCCAGCUGGAGAUGACAAUCUGCUCCUCUGUAUCCGCCUUGUCUCCUCCCAUCACUGUCCUGGCCCCUGGCCCCCCAUGGAACAUAAGCCUCAGUAUGCACAGGGCGUUUUCAGCUACCCCAACACAUUGGCUUGCUACCUCAACUAUGGAAAACCAGCGGGGGAGGAAUUGCCAUCUUUUUGAGAAGAGGGAGUGAGACUCAGAGAAUGAUGCCUUUUUUUUUUUUUUUUUUUUUUACCCCAAGGUCACCCUGCUUGUUGUUGGCCAAGCCAGGCCUAGAAUCUGGGUCUCCAGACUCUGGGUCUGCUACUCAGGGCACAAAAGAAGAAAACAUUCUGAGUUACACCCCUUCUUGGCCAGUAGUUGAGGGUAAAUUAACGAAAAGAAUUAAUUUGUCUGUAACUCUUGUCUGUUGCUCUCUGUUUAGGAAGAACUAAAAACUCCACAAA